GUUUAGCAGAUACUAUAAUUUUAUAAUUAAUUAUACAAUCCAUGUAGCAAAUGAAAAAUUAUACAGAUGGGCCAAGGGUUAUAAAUAAUAGUUUACACAGAAACUGUCAAUUUACAACACAGCACUGUGUGGUUUCUAAACCGCAAGCACAAGACGUCAUCACACAGAUCCACUGCACAGGUACAGACAGGUCCAUGACAUACAGAGUACCACCUGAAACAGGCCUUGGUAGCCGCUCCACUUCUCAGAAAGUAGCAAAUGGUAAAUGGAUGGAAUACAUUUUGGUUCAAAAUGUCUUCUGAAACGUUUGAGUGUGGGAGGAAAUUAAGACUGGGGUAGGAGCCACUGGGGAACUUCUGAAUUCAUUUUUGGUUCUUUCUCAAUUAUUUUAUAAAAAUAAAAUAAAACUAGAAAAUUUGAUAAAACCAAGGGUUAAAACCCCUCAAAAUACAUAUUAGGCAGGCAAUCUGAAGUGGAACGGGAGGUAAGAGGGUCGAGAUUCGGGGCUAUGGUCUCUUCCUGUAUUUAUGAGGCAGUAGCUGAAUUGUUGCACAGAAACUUACAAUUAUUCUCUUACAUUUUUUUAAAUACUCACUUGCCUCUACAAUUAUAAAACAUGAAUUCAUAACGUUAUCAACUAUACUGAAAUUCCCUCUCUCAAACUCAUGACUCAGAUUUUAAUUUAAUGCUGAAUUGUACCCUCUUGGAGUUUAAUCACAUAGGUCUAUUUGGCUUUGAAGAGGAACCAAAUUUGCUAAAUGUGUUAUCCGUCUGCAGUCUGCACAGGCAACGGCCUUUUCUAUGCAAUUAAAAAAAAAAAAAAAAAACAGAAAAACCAGACUGGACUACUUCCCCUGUUGAAACCAACCAAAGCAAUGGCUUGACAGGGAGGAAGGAUUUUAUUAGACUAGGCACCAUCCCUGACUUGAGAAGGUCAGAGAUGAAAGUCACACCAUGGGCACGUCAAAGCUGGAGUCCUAUUCUCCCCCAGUGUCAUAGGACAGAGUAAGUAACAAUGGAGUAACAACAACAGAAAAGCACUCCAAAACAUUAGGACCAAGUAGCACCUUAGGCCCGAGGACUUCACACUCGAUUCACAAAGACAUGAUUCCAAUUCCCUCUAAGUCUACUUCCACUAGAACACACGGUCUCGCUGAGGGGCAGCAAACACAAGGCCAGCAAGUAGCCUUUGCCAGUGCCUGACCAAACCCCAGCAGAGGUGCAACUGCACUUCAGGGCACAGAGAACCCAGGAUAGGACUGUGUUUCCACAGCCGCAGGCUACAAGGUGGCAUCACAGUCUGCAAGAAAGAGUGAGGGCUCGCGGAGCUUCUAGGUAGGGUCACCUAACAACCAGCCCAGCAUGAUUCUGAAGGGACACCGAAAACAGACUUUCAAGAGGAAGGGCGGGCUGAGGCCACCUGCUGUGCAGGAUGUGUCACAACCUGGAGUGGCCAUUACAACCUGUACAGUUUCUGCUUUCUGUCCCGUUUGAGUACUCACUCUGCUGAUGGCUGCUGUGGGUGCUCUUGUGACCUCACUGAUGUCCCAGAGCUUGAAGAUGCAGGAGAACUGAAUGAAAAGGGCCUCCGCCACCUACUGGCUGGUGGCACAGGGAAGAGAUACGGUCCUUAAAGAUGCUUUACCUCUAAAUGAAUUCAAAUAAAGGCAGCUCUAAGCAAAGCAGGAGCUCGUUCAGCCUUUUAGCCCUCAGGAAUGGAGAAACUAGAACUGCCAGGCCUUUGGAAGGUUUCAGUGUUCUCACUUCCACCAGUAGAAAGAAGUGUUAGCUGAACACUGCAGUGGCCAGGGCUCCUGCUGGUUUGGUAUCCUUCACAAGCCUCUUGAGUGGGGAGGCUGCCUGCCUCUGUGCUGGUGCCCUGAGGCUGUGGCUUACACCACCACACCUGGGUGUCACCCUAAGCAUAACAUAUGUAGCACCCUUUGCUUCCUGGGAUUUUCAAAUCCCAGCCAAAUCAGAGUCCUAAGUAACCCUCCAUGCCUCCGGUUCUCCACACAGAGAAAUAUAUGUGAGGGAUUCUAGGGGUACUGAGCUGUCCAAGUCGAAAGAAUGGAAGAUGUCAACCCCCACCCACGCAAUACUACAACGGGGUGGGGGUUAGGGCACAGAGAUAACCUAGAGAAGAGUGCCCUGCCCUGCCCAGCCAGUACCCAGGCACCUGCCUCAUGACACGGUCCAUCUGCCCCUCAGGCUUCCCUAACCCAACUAAUGGAGGGAUCUAGGAUCGUAUGCUGACUUCCCAAGGAAACUUUAGGAGGAGGGAGCCCGAGGGGAUACAGGUGGAACCAUGGUGUAAAAGGAUGACCUUCUGGACAGCAAAGUGGACAACCACAGGACAGCUGGUCAGAGGCGGUGGGUCCCCAUGACAAAUCUGUUAAGUUAGACCUGCACUGCCAAGACUAGAGGGAACUUCUCCUCAAGCAGAGUCCACUGCUCCUUCCAAACGGAGCACGGAGCCUUCCGUCCUUCACUUUCACAAGGGUCCCAAGGUCAGCUAUGCCUGCGCUAUCUGAAUCCAUGAAUCCAUGCAACUGCUUAAAUACAUUAUCUGCACAAGAGUCGGUGUUUAAGCACCUUUAUGAGUUUAUAGUGUAUAAAAAGGGAGGAGAGAGCAGGGAAGCCACUUUCAAUCCAUUCAUAAGCAAAGCAGGGUUAAAGAUGCCUUCUUACAUUAUUAAAUAGGAAAGCAAAACCAGGCAGGAACAGACUAUCCCCAGGCUCAGCCACGGGUGGCUCUGCACAGCCACGCCCACCAGCGUGGAGGGUGUGUGCUCCCCAUGCAGAGAAGCCCCCUCCACCAGCCUCUUGGAUGCUAGAAUCUUGUAGCUGGGUGGUGCUGAGGAGUCCCUGGUCAGUGGCAGCAGAGCCGCCGCCCCAGGUCACAGUAUGGCACACACGUUUUCAAGCCGGAACCGAACAGAGGCGUUCACAACUCAGUUUAUUCAGGCGAUAUUUUGGCUAUAUUCAGUGUGGAUAGCGAUGAUGCUUCAGAGCAAACACAAAUCUAUGAGAAGUCAGAGGUAGCUUUUAUGCAUCUGUCUAAAAGGUUUUAGAAACCACCUUCUGUAGUGAUUUGGCUAAGCCGAUACAUUCAACUUGAGACAAAUAAAAUGGCUGAACAAAUCCAAAGACACAAGGUGAGGGCUCUGCAAUGGCACUGACACUCAUACUCUCACACUCACACACACUCACAACACUCACCUCUCUCUCUCUCUCUCUCUCUCUCUCUCUCUCUCUCUCUCUCGGUGGUUUGAGUGUGAUAAUUCCUUUUGUUUCAGACACUGGGUACCCUGACCACAGACAGUUCAUGUGGGGCUAAACAGAACACGUACUUCGAUCCCAGCAGGCUCACAAGGCAUGAAGGGCUGCACUAGGCUUCAGGUCUCCCAUGGAUGGACCACAAAUGACAGUCUGACAAAGCAGUGAUCACAGCUUUAAGUUGAAGGCUGGCCCACGAAUGCUGCAAUGGCCUGUUAACACCGACUGGGCUAUUCAUAUGCUGUCCAAGCUCACAAAGACCACACAGAACGAGAUUGACAUGCUUUGGGGGGCAGGCCUUGCAGAUCACAAGAAAAUUAAAUUAAACAGACCAAAGUGUCACAAAGACUCCUAACUAAUAUGUUAGUUAACAUUCAAGCCUUCAGGUCUCGAAGAGCAUGCUGUCCUGUAUAGAGGGGGAGAACUUCUGGUCAGAGUGUGAGACAAGGCUAGCCCACAAUGCUCGAGAGAAUAGAGCCCAGUCCGCACACUCUAGCAUAUUAAUACUGAAAUGUGUGUUGGGAAUCGCAGAAGUGAGGCAAUGUCCCACAUCUACAUCACUCUUGCCACUGUGAAUCUGUUUACAAUCACUUCAAAUGAGUACAGCAGAUAGGGAGUUGGACACAAGAAAGAAAACUGUCAACACUCAGUGCAACUUACAGGAGUCAGCAUGCUUACAACAGGGCGCUCAUGACAAGAGUUGCAUGUGCUCUGUCUAUAGUGAGCCAGCCAGCAUGGGUACUGCAGGGAAGGGCUUAGAACAUAAACAAAUGUCUGUAUUCACAAGUGAGGCGUAUGAACACCAAGGAGUGUCGCGUCUACUCGGGCACAUUCCUUAUCCCAUGGGUGUGAAAGAUGAGUCAGGGAGAGGUCACAGAAAGGUUGCUUAUGGCUUGUCUGGGGCCACCGGAUUGUCCACUGUCUGCGUAGCAAAAUGCCCAUGGAAAAAAUCCUUGUAACAACCCAAGAGGUCAGGGCUACGCUAAAGGACCCUGAAGGCUCCUGUGACUGACCAGUGCUACCACCACAGGGACGACCAAGAGAAGCCACCCAGCCCUAAGGCCUCCUGGACACUCAGGGGUCCCCAGCUGCAUGACUCGGGGGCUGGUCUACCCUUAACACAUUGUAUCAAAUAUAGAAUUUGAUUGAAAAACUGCUUGUAAAAAUAAAAUUCAAAUCACCCUGCAGAUCAAUGCAAAAGCAUACUGCUGCAUCUAUAGGAAAAACAAUUCAUCCAGAAAAACUACAUCUGUGGCUUCCAAAAAUAAAGCAUUAGCAAGCCUGAAGGUAAACAUUGGGUCAUUUAUAAAAGUGGGGGGAAAUAGUCUCUACCAUGUCCAUCAGGUACCACAUGCAUUGGGAUAGCCAGUCAGCUAAGUCAAACCAGAGCAGGAGAGGAAAAAAAAAAUAAAUACAACAUUUGCAUUUAAAAACAACAAAAUACAAGACAACGGAAAGAAAAAAACCCAAAAACCCACCCAACCCCACUGCAGGGGCUGUCUUUCUAUCAAGCGCUCAGUAACAGGUAAACAUCAGGAAUACAGGUGUUGGGCCAGCUGCAGACAGCACGGAGCUAGCAGUCACCCCACUGGCAGUGCCCUGUGGCCUGGAGGCCAGCAAGCGGGUGGGUGUGAGGAGUGGCCAAGAGGCCAAAUCUGGAGAAGGCAGAGCAGACCCAAAGUGGUAUCAAGUGUGCAUGUGAGGAUUUCCCCAAAUGGGAGAAUGAAGCCAAAACCAAACAGCCGCUCUCCAGAAGUACAGGUGUGCUCGGUUUCAGAAUCAGUGGGGACUAGGACAAUCUAGGCUUAUAACACGCAGUGACGAGGGUAGGAGUUUUGCUAGUAUCACUAAGGGCUAAUCUACAGAAUGGGGCCUCGAUGUCUCCCUAGAGUUUCCCAUCGCUUCAUCAGCAUGGGGGGAGAAGGGAGGGGACACGACCUGCUGCAUGGUGUACACAGUGGUAAAGGAAUGGAAGUCAUGAUGGGUUUUUAAGAGUGAGUAUCUUACAUUGUACUAGGAAGAGUGCCACUGUGAGAGAGUCUAAUUGGGUAGCCUCUCUUAAAGAGACAGGCACGUCCUAGUUUUCCUUCCAAAUGGAUACAGAGCACAACAACAUAAUCACAUUCAGUUUGCUUAAAGCAAGGCACACCUUACUUAACAGUGGGGUUGGGAACACAGCUAGCACGUGGGCAGUCUUCAAACUUGGCCAGGUGUCACCUCAGGAGAUAACGGCACCUGUCACCAGUCUUGGGUACAGGUGCGGCAAAAAAAAAAAAAAAAAAAA
ensembl:lncRNA